AUGCUCUGAUUUGCUUAUUGCACCACAUGUGUUUUUCUUUGAAACAAACUUGCUUUGGCGGUGGGCCCAGCCUGCCGCCAGAGGUCUAAACUUACAACCAAUUUUUUAUUAACUUGUCACACCAGAUUAUUACUUAAUAGUCAAAACUUUCAACAACGGAUCUCUUGGUUCUCGCAUCGAUGAAGAACGCAGCGAAAUGCGAUACGUAAUAUGAAUUGCAGAUAUUCGUGAAUCAUCGAAUCUUUGAACGCACAUUGCGCCCUCUGGUAUUCCGGAGGGCAUGCCUGUUUGAGCGUCGUUUCUCCCUCAAACCGCUGGGUUUGGUGUUGAGCAAUACGACUUGGGUUUGCUUGAAAGACGGUAGUGGUAAGGCGGGAUCGCUUUGACAAUGGCUUAGGUCUAACCAAAAACAUUGCUUGCGGCGGUAACGUCCACCACGUAUAUCUUCAAACUUUGACCUCAAAUCAGGUAGGACUACCCGCUGAACUUAAGCAUAUCAAAAGGCGGAGGAA
rnacentral:rRNA from 1 species